GAGGAAUAAGCAUCGGCUAACUCCGUGCCAGCAGCCGCGGUAAUACGGGGGAUGCAAGCGUUAUCCGGAUUUAUUGGGCGUAAAGCGCCUGUAGGUUGUUUAAUAAGUCUGUUGUUAAAGACUAGGGCUUAACCCUAGGAAAGCAAUGGAAACUACUAGACUAGAGUGUGAUAGGGGUAGAGGGAAUUUCUAGUGUAGCGGUGAAAUGCGUAGAUAUUAGGAAGAACACCGGUGGCGAAGGCGCUCUACUGGAUCAUUACUGACACUCAGAGGCGAAAGCUAGGGUAGCAAAAGGGAUUAGAUACCCCUGUAGUCCUAGCCGUAAACGAUGGAUACUACAUGUUGCGUUUUUAUGCAGUAUGGUAGCUAACGCGUUAAGUAUCCCGCCUGGGGAGUACGCUCGCAAGGGUGAAACUCAAAGGAAUUGACGGGGGCCCGCACAAGCGGUGGAGCAUGUGGUUUAAUUCGAUGCAACGCGAAGAACCUUACCAAGGCUUGACAUACUACAGAUUUCUUUGAAAGAAGAAAGUGCCUUCGGGAAUGUAGAUACAGGUGGUGCAUGGCUGUCGUCAGCUCGUGUCGUGAGAUGUUGGGUUAAGUCCCGCAACGAGCGCAACCCUUGUUUUUAGUUGCCAAUUUAUUUGGGUUUUCUAGAAAGACUGCCGGUGACAAACCGGAGGAAGGUGAGGAUGACGUCAAGUCAGCAUGCCCCUUAUGCCUUGGGCUACACACGUGCUACAAUGGUUAAGACAAAGAGUUGCAAGCUUGUGAAAGUUAGCUAAUCUCGUAAACUUAAUCUAAGUUCGGAUUGUAGGCUGCAACUCGCCUACAUGAAG
rnacentral:rRNA from 1 species